rfam:Oryza glumipatula chromosome 7, whole genome shotgun sequence.
UUCAAGUAUAAAUGUGAUUUUCCGUGUUUAAUUUUAAUCGUCCGUUUUAUUUAAAAUCUUUUUAUAAAUUAGUAUUUUUUGUUGUUAUAGGUGAUAAAAUAUGAAUAGUACUUUACUCGUGACUUAUAUUUUUAAUUUGUUUUUAAUUUUUUUAAAUAAGACAGAUGAUUAAAGUUGGGCGCGAAAAACCAUGGCUACACUUAAA